rnacentral:rRNA from 1 species
GACAGCAGCCGCCACGGUAAUACAGAGGUCUCAAGCGUUGUUCGGAUUCAUUGGGCGUAAAGGGUGCGUAGGUGGCUUGGUAAGUUGAAGGUGAAAUCUCGGGGCUUAACUCCGAAACUGCCUUCAAUACUGCUGAGCUCGAGGAUUGUAGAGGAGAAUGGAAUUCACGGUGUAGCAUUGAAAUGCGUAGAUAUCGUGAGGAACACCUGUGGCGAAAGCGGCUCACUGGACCAUUUCUGACGCUGAUGCACGAAAGCUAGGGGAGCAAACAGGAUUAGAUACCCCUGUAGUCCCUGUCUCUUAUAC